rnacentral:rRNA from 1 species
CUCUUAGAUGUUCUGGGCCGCACGCGUGCUACACUGAGUGGAUCAGCGGGUCAGGUUGCGCGAAAGCGUUUCCUAAUCUUUAAAUCCGCUCGUGAUGGGGAUUGACGGUUGCAAUUUUCUGUCAUGAACGAGGAAUACCUUGUAAGCGCGGGUCAUCAUCCCGCGCUGAAUACGUCCCUGCCCUUUGUACACACCGCCCGUCGCUCCUACCGAUUGAGUGGUCCGGUGAGGCUUUGGGAUCUGAGCGGAAAGAGCGUUUCGCUGUUUCUGCUCGGAAAACUCAGUCGAACCUUAUCAUUUAGAGGAAGGAGAAGUCGUGACA